rnacentral:rRNA from 1 species
GAUGAACGCUGGCGGCGUGCCUAAUACAUGCAAGUAGAACGCUGAAGGAGGAGCUUGCUCUUCUGGAUGAGUUGCGAACGGGUGAGUAACGCGUAGGUAACCUGCCUGGUAGCGGGGGAUAACUAUUGGAAACGAUAGCUAAUACCGCAUGACAACAGUUAUUACAUGAUAACUGUUUAAAAGGGGCAACUGCUCCACUACCAGAUGGACCUGCGUUGUAUUAGCUAGUUGGUGAGGUAACGGCUCACCAAGGCGACGCUACAUAGCCGACCUGAGAGGGUGAUCGGCCACACUGGGACUGAGACACGGCCCAGACUCCUACGGGAGGCAGCAGUAGGGAAGCUUCGGCAAUGGACGGAAGUCUGACCGAGCAACGCCGCGUGAGUGAAGAAGGUUUUCGGAUCGUAAAGCUCUGUUGUAAGAGAAGAACGAGUGUGAGAGUGGAAAGUUCACACUGUGACGGUAUCUUACCAGAAAGGGACGGCUAACUACGUG